UCUGCCAGGCUAAGUUUCAAUCUCGUCCUUAAUACAGAGCCACCAAAGAUUUUGAGCAGGAAAGUGACACUCUCUGGUUUGCAUUUUGGAAAGAACAUGCCCGUGGUGGUGUUCUAGGUUCAGUCUGCAAGAAACUGGAUCCUGAUACCCCAAGAUAACUGAGGCUCACGGAGGCUGUCCGAUUUGCCCAGAGUCCCAGCUGGACACGACCGGGGUCUGGGUGGCUUCCGAGUCCAACAGAUGACUUGCCGUCUCUCUGCACUGCCUACUUACGAGGAAAAACCAGAACAGGAAGCACUGGCCGGCUUCUGUGAAUCGCAUGUUGUUGGAAUUCCUGUCCUUCCUCGACCCAGAUUUGUAAACACAGGCUUUGGAAGCCAAAGUACACAGGGGCAGAUGUGAAGAAGCCGUCCAGGCAGGGGAGAGUCACAUGUGUCCUGGCAGGCGGAACUCAGUGAGUCUGAAUGAAUCAUAAUGAAGAAGCAUAACUUGUUGGGGCUUCCCAAGACACAGAAAGGAAUCUGGCCAACCUUUCUGUUGAAGCUUUAUGAGAGAGGUCCCGUGUCAUGAAGAAGGAUGCUGAGCAUGAGGAAUAUGCCAUCUAUGACUUCUUCCAGGUUUCUGAUCCUUCCAGGGAGGGGAUCUCAGCACUUUCUGGCUCUUGUCAAGAAACCAAAUUGCUGAAACCAAGCGACUUGUUCCCAGUGGUAAACAUAUGAGCGUUCCUACGGCAAAGAGAAAAGUUGAGCGUAGGUUCAUGCAGCCUCACCACGUAUUUCCCCAGCCGUCUACCAGUGGGACUUCUUAGAACUCUCAAAAUGGCAGCCACAGGAACACAGACUAUCCAAAACAGAAGAAGAAGGGAAUCAAGAUGAAGGGGAAUACCUUCUUCAGCGAAUACUAGUUAUUUACUUUGGGUUUGGCCACUAAUCUCAGGACAGAAAUGAAUGAAAACUUACCCAAAAGACACAUGAGCAUGAAGAGUUAAACCAAAAAAGGAAAAAAUACUUUGGACUUUUACUUUAAAAUACCCCUUUGAAUUUAACGAUCUGUAACUUGCUCCUUUUCCUCCACUUAGCAAGCUUCUCGAGCACCCUUCUCCUCCUCAUGUUCUGGGAACAAUGGAUGUUUCAUAUAAAAAUAGGUGUAAGUCACUGUGUGAAUAAAAUGAAUAA